ACUCCUACGGGAGGCCAGCAGGUGGGGAAUAUUGCAGGCAAUGGGCGUCAAGCCAUGGACAUGCAGCCAUGCCGCGUGUGUGAAGAAGGCCUUCGGGUUGGUAAAGACACUUUUCAGUCGUGAGGAAGGUAGUGUAGUUAAUAGCUGCAUUAUUUGACGUUAGCGACAGAAGAAGCACCGGCUAACUCCGUGCCAGCAGCCGCGGUAAUACGGAGGGUGCGAGCGUUAAUCGGAAUUACUGGGCGUAAAGCGCAUGCAGGUGGUUUGUUAAGUCAGAUGUGAAAGCCCGGGGCUCAACCUCGGAAU
rnacentral:rRNA from 1 species